rnacentral:tRNA from 1 species
GCGCCUGUAGCUCAACCGGAUAGAGCAACCGCCUUCUAAGCGGUAGGUUGCAGGUUCGAUUCCUGCCAGGCGUGCCA